rnacentral:rRNA from 1 species
UGGGCGAAAGCCUGAUCCAGCCAUGCCGCGUGUGUGAAGAAGGUCUUCGGAUUGUAAAGCACUUUAAGUUGGGAGGAAGGGCUGUUUCCUAAUACGAAGCAGUUUUGACGUUACCGAC